rnacentral:rRNA from 1 species
UGAGGAAUUUUGGACAAUGGGGGCAACCCUGAUCCAGCAAUACCACGUGAGUGAAGAAAGCCUUCGGGUUGUAAAGCUCUUUUAAUGGGAAAGAUUAUGACGGUACCCAUAGAAUAAGCACCGGCUAACUCUGUGCCAGCAGCCGCGGUAAGACAGAGGGUGCAAGCGUUGUUCGGAUUUACUGGGCGUAAAGGGCGCGUAGGCGUAUUUGUAAGUCAGUUGUGAAAGACCGGGGCUCAACCCCGGAACUGCAGCCGAUACUGCAAGUAUAGAGAUAGUAAGAGGAAAGCGGAAUUCCUAGUGUAGAGGUAAAAUUCACAGAUAUUAGGAGGAACACCAAAGGCGAAGGCAGCUUUCUGGGACAUAUCUGACGUUAAAGCGCGAAAGUGUGGGUAGCAAACAGG